ACAAUAAUAAUACAUAAGGGUUUCAAUUGCAAUACAAUCACUAGAAAUAAGAGAAUAGUAUGCACAAAAUCAUAGCAUAGACAUGUUAAAUAGACAAUAAAAUAAAACAUUCAAUAGCUCAUCAAAGGUCAACAUUUAAACACUGGUCUCCAUCUGAUAUUCUAUCUGUGUUCCAAUGUCCACAGGUUUCUGCUAUAUCUGAAAAAGGUAAGAAAACAGAUCAGGAUUACUU